ensembl:misc_RNA Metazoa_SRP Metazoan signal recognition particle RNA
GCCGGGCGCCGUGGCGUGUGUCUGUAAUGCCAGCUACAGGGGCAGGUUGAGGCUGGCGGAUCGCUUGAGCACGGGAGCUCUGUGCUGCAACUGGCUGUGCCGAUCGGGAGUCCGCACUUAGCACGGCAUCGACAUGGCAUUUCUGGGGGAGCUCGUGAAUGCCAGGUCGUCUAAGGAGGGGUGAACCGGCCCAGGUCGGGAACGGAGCAGGUCAAAACCCCCGUGUCGCACCAGUAGUGGGACUGCUCCUGUGAGCGGAUGUUGCAGUGCAUCCUUUGCAAAACAACGAAACCCAGCCUCCU